rnacentral:tRNA from 1 species
GCCUCGGUUGCUCCGAGGCGAGAGCGCCGGCCUACGGAUCCCCAGGUGGCGGGUUCGAAUCCCGACCGAGGUG